AAGAUUCCCAGGUGAUUCUAAUGUGCGGCCAAGGUUGAGAACCACUGCUCUACUGUCUAGAGAAGGUUGGAGGGAGAUGGGCAUCUGAUCUUCCACAGGUGAACCAUCCUAUUGGCAUUUGCUAAAAUGUCAAGUACCCUAAAUAGUCCUUUGUUGUAAAUCUGUGUAGCCUGCUGUUAGACCAUCAUUCAUUCUCACUGUUGAGGCUACUUCAGGUUUGGCACCUCCCUUGCUGCAUCAUUCAUCUAUUUCCAUGCCAUGUUAGCCUACAGGGAAAUCUUUGGGGCUAAGACUUCUGCACAACACUUACCUAGGGAGCAUUGGGUCAUUCUGCUACUCUGGCAUCACGUGAGACCGUGGGAAGCUAACCCUGAGAGCUGACACACUCCUGGCCGUUUUCCUCUAAGCUCGUUUGUUCCUCCCCAUGUACUACAUGCAAACCCGGUUCCAUUGAGGACAUAUUCUCCCAGGUUCUCAGCAUUUUGUUUUCACCUGCUUUCCUUGUUCAGGACGAUCUCCAGCAUCUGCAGGAAUAUGACUUGUAAAUGGACUGGAGACCACAGAGUGAGGAUUUAAUAAAGAAAUCUGAAUUUAGCAAGAUAGCUGGAUAGAAACUCAAUAUACAAAAAUCAAUAUACAUAAAUUUUUAAAUGACUUUAUUUAAAAUAGCAAAUAAAACAUGAAAUACCUAGGAAUAAAUCUAAGAAGAUUUGUAAGACCUCUAUAAACUAGAACAAUAAAAUUUUAAUGACAAAUCUAAAAACAAGUAAAUGAAGGGAUAUACCAUGUUUACAAAUUAGAAGAAUCAAUAACCAGAAAUAAGUUAUCUCUAAAUUGACCUUUAGAUUCAAUGAAAUCCCAGCCAUACUCAGCGAAGGAUUUUUAUGGAAUUUGGCAAGCUGGUUCUAAAAUGUAUAUAGAAAUGCAAACGGCCAAGCAGACAUGGAUAAAGUGAUAAAGCAAACUUGGAUAGCUUUUUCUACCAGAUGUCAAGGCUUACUCUAAUGCCCCAAUGACUAAGGCAGUGAGGUAUUGGUACAAUGAUAGACAUAUAGAUCAAAGGGAAAGAAUAGAAAGUCCAGAAACAGAUCCUCAGGUAAUGGAUACUAGAUUUAUGAGAAAGUUAGCACUGCAAAGCCAUAGGUAGAGGACAAUGUUGUAGGUAGGUGCCCAGGGAACAGGCUCAGAAAGGGAGGCUGACGUACAGGUGGUAUAGUUGGAAGUGCUUUCAGCAACCAUGCUUCAAGGGAGUGAAGAAACCGCAAUCAGGCAGGAGGACAGGUUUAACCAAUACAGUGGCAAUAGAGGCCUCCGCCAGUUCCAUGAGGAGCUCUGAAGCUGGGGUGGUCUCUUAGAAAGGUCACGGGUUGAGGUCCGGGGGCCAGGCCUGGCCUUUGUACCCCUACAAUGACCAGUCAUUUGAUGCACAUGCCCCCAAAGAGGGAAUCUACCUUGAGUAAGGCAGCUUCCUUCUGCCAAGGAAAAUUCCUGGAAGAGACCAUAUAACAGUAAAUACCCAAAAUAAUUGAAAGCAGAGACUAAAACUGGUAAUUGUACACCAGUGUUUGUAGCAGCAUUAUUCACAAAAAGCCAAAAGGCGAAACCACCCAAAUGUCCAUUGAUGAAUGAAUGGAUAGACAAAAUGUGGUGUAUGCAUACAAUGGAAUAUUAUUCAGCCUUAAAAAGGAAGGAAAUUCUGACAUAUGCUUCAACAUGGAUGAAAAUUGAAGAUAUUACGCCAAGUGAAAUAAGCCAGACACAAAAGGAUAAAUAUUGUGUGAUUCCACUUAUAUUACAUGAGAUACCUAAAACAGACAAAUUCAUAGGGACAGAAUGGUGGUUUCCAAAGGCUAGAGGGAGGGGGAAAUGGGGAAUCAUUGCUUAAUAAGUACAGAAUUUCAGUCUGAAAGAUGAAAAAGUUCUGGAGAAGGAUGGUGGUGGUCAUUUUACAACAAUGUAAAUGUAUUUAAAGCCACUGAACUGUAUACUUUAAAAUGAUUAACAUAGUAAAUUUUAUCUUUUGUGUAUUUUACCACAACAAAAGAAAUCAAUGGGA